rnacentral:rRNA from 1 species
UAGGGAAUCUUCCGCAAUGGACGCAAGUCUGACGGAGCAACGCCGCGUGAGUGAAGAAGGAUUUCGGUUCGUAAAACUCUGUUGUUAGAGAAGAACAGCGCAUAGAGUAACUGUUAUGCGUGUGACGGUAUCUAACCAGAAAGCCACGGCUAACUACGUGCCAGCAGCCGCGGUAAUACGUAGGGAGCGAGCGUUGUCCGGAAUUAUUGGGCGUAAAGGGUACGCAGGCGGUUUAAUAAGUCGAAUGUUAAAGAUCGGGGCUCAACCCCGUAAAGCAUUAGAAACUGAUAAACUGGAGUAGUGGAGAGGAAAGUGGAAUUCCUAGUGUAGUGGUGAAAUAAGUAGAUAUUAGGAGGAAUAACAGUAGAGAAGGCGACUUUCUGGACACAAACUGACGCUGAGGUACGAAAGCGUGGGGAGCAAACAGG